CGGUCCCUCCCCAGGCGGCCCGUCCCUCCCCAGACAGCCCGCCCCACCUGCUCCGUCCGGCCCUCUGCUCCUUUGGGCUGAUUUCAAGAUUUGAGCCUCGUCGUUGCCGUCUGCCCCAAAUGCCAGCAACCUCAUUUCAAGACCCUCGUUCCAUGAAGGGCAGGUUCGGAGGACGGGGGCCUCACGGGCACUUGUGAAGAGUGUGUGCAUCCCAAAGAUGUCCUCGUGUCCCCCCGUGUCCCCAAGUCCCAGCACAGCAGCCUGGCUCUGGCUGCUGUGGGCUCUGCAGGCGCGGCUCCCAUGUGCCUCCCUCACUGUGCUCAGGGCUUCGACCCGACUCUCAACGUCAGACACACCGUCCCGUCCAUGCAAAGUGUGUGAUGAUGUAACACUUUUAUGGAACGUUCGUGCUGCCGCGGGAGGGGAGCGCACAGCCUCCGGGACGCAGUCCCCGAGCAAGAAACGGCUGUCGCUGAAGCGCAAGGACCGGUUUCCAUCGGCCGUGGGCUCGCGGUGGGGACACCUGCAGCGGCAACGGGACCUCGGGCGGGGUUUGUGCGGUGGCGACUGGGAUUUUAAGGUGAGAAUGCAGAGGGGGGACGGGUGAGAGGUCGGUGGAGUCAGGCAGGCAGGGGCUGCGCCGCGAGACCCCCCGACGGGCUUGCUGAUAGCGCUCAUCCAGGGUCAGCCUCGGUCCCCACGGAGGCCCAGGGACUGGCUGGACUUCCCUCGGGCUGAGCCCAGAAGGGCCUCGAGCUGCUGCAUGUCUUUCCGGACCUGACAUGGAGCAGCCUCAGAGGAGCCUGGCUGGGCUUUGGUCACCAGGUGCCACACGACCGUCCAUUUAAAGGGUACAGGGCUUUCACUGUGUUCACAGCGCUGGGCAACCGUCACCCGAGUCCACUGGGAACAUCUUCUUGACUCCACGAAGACCCCCCCCCCCCCCGUGGACUUGCCUGCUCAGGAUCCUUCACUCCAGGGGAUGGUCAGAACAGGCCGUGCCCUCCCGUCACCUGUCCCGCUCAGCGUCACCUACGAGAGGUGCGCCUGGGUGGUCUGUGUUGGCGCCUCGCCCUUUACCUGGCCCACCAGGACUGCACCACAGACACACCACAACUGACCCGCUGACCGUCGGGUGCGGGACGUGUGGGUUGUUUCCACCUUUUGGUCGUUAGGAGUAAAGCUGCCCUGCAUCUGGGUGUCUCUCACCCUGCAGCAAUGGGCCCAAACUUGGCCAAUACCGGCCGCUUCCCUAAUUGCUGCCCUGCUGCCAGCUCAGGACCAACCAGAGAAAGCCCAGUGUGCUCCCGGACCCACCGGACGCUUGCAGCAUCCCCAGCCCACAGCCCUGCUCAGGGCACAGGGGGGCCCUAUCUCUAGGAAGCCGCCCCCUCGCCUGCCUGCCUUCGAGUCUCUGCCAGCGUGAUGGGGCUGCCUCCCAGCUAGAGCAGAGCCCCAGCCCCUGCCUGCGCUCGCUCGGGUCCUUCGUUUCCAUGUUUUGUCUGCAGGUGUGUGGGGUGUGGGAGGGGCCGCGCUCUGCACGCGGGUGUCCAGUCGUCCAAAGCCAUUUGCCAAAACAGCCAGGCGCCCCUGUGGGGACUUCUUGACCAUAGAUACCCACCGUGUAACUGUUUUUUUUUUUUGCUUUUCAGGGCCACAUCAGACCCUUGGCACGUGGAGGUUCCCAGACUAGGGCUCCAAUUAGAGCUAUGGCUGCUGGCCUACACCACAGCCAUAGUGACAUGGCAUCCAAGCCAAUUCUGCGACCACCACAGCCCACCGCAACGCUGGAUCCUUAAUCCACCCAGCAAGACCAGGGAUCGAACCUGUGUCCUUGCGGACACCAGUCAGGUCUGUUACUGCUGCGCCACAAGGGCAACUCCCCACUGUGCGACUCUUCAUGAAUUACGGUCUUUAUUUCAGGACAAGCUGGGACUGAGUCAUGAAAGGGGCGCCAGUGCCCCGCUCACGUG
ensembl:lncRNA